rnacentral:rRNA from 1 species
AACGUAGGGGGCAAGCGUUGUCCGGAUUUAUUGGGCGUAAAGAGCUCGUAGGUGGUUCGGUAAGUCGGGUGUUAAACCCCCAGGCUCAACCUGGGGACGCCACUCGAUACUGCUGUGACUAGAGUCCGGUAGGGGAGCGUGGAAUUCCUGGUGUAGCGGUGAAAUGCGCAGAUAUCAGGAGGAACACCAGCGGCGAAGGCGGCGCUCUGGGCCGGUACUGACACUGAGGAGCGAAAGCGUGGGUAGCAAACAGG